rnacentral:rRNA from 1 species
AUUGAACGCUGGCGGCAGGCCUAAUACAUGCAAGUCGAGCGGAUGAAGGGAGCUUGCUCCUGGAUUCAGCGGCGGACGGGUGAGUAAUGCCUAGGAAUCUGUCUGGUCGUGGGGGAUAACGUCCGGAAACGGGAGCUAAUACCGCAUACGUCCUGAGGGAGAACGUAGGUGAUCUUGGGACUUCGCGCUUUCAGAUGAGCCUAGGUGGAAUUAGCUAGUUGGUGGGGUAAAGGCCUACCAAGGCGACGAUCCGUAACUGAUCUGAGAGGAUGAUCAGUCACACUGGAACUGAGACACGGUCCAGACUCCUACGGGAGGCAGCAGUGGGGAAUAUUGGACAAUGGGCGAAAGCCUGAUCCAGCCAUGCCGCGUGUGUGAAGAAGGUCUUCGGAUUGUAAAGCACUGUAAGUUGGGAGGAAGAGAAGUGAAAGAAUACCUGGCUAUUUUGACGUUACCAACAGAAUAAGCACCGGCUAACUUCGUG